AGUGAACGCUGGCGGUAGGCCUAACACAUGCAAGUCGAACGGCAGCACAGUAAGAGCUUGCUCUUACGGGUGGCGAGUGGCGGACGGGUGAGGAAUACAUCGGAAUCUACUUUUUCGUGGGGGAUAACGUAGGGAAACUUACGCUAAUACCGCAUACGACCUACGGGUGAAAGCAGGGGAUCUUCGGACCUUGCGCGAUUGAAUGAGCCGAUGUCGGAUUAGCUGGUUGGCGGGGUAGAGGCCCACCAAGGCGACGAUCCGUAGCUGGUCUGAGAGGAUGAUCAGCCACACUGGAACUGAGACACGGUCCAGACUCCUACGGGAGGCAGCAGUGGGGAAUAUUGGACAAUGGGCGCAAGCCUGAUCCAGCCAUACCGCGUGGGUGAAGAAGGCCUUCGGGUUGUAAAGCCCUUUUGUUGGGAAAGAAAAGCAGCAGGUUAAUACCCCGCUGUUCUGACGGUACCCAAAGAAUAAGCACCGGCUAACUUCGUG
rnacentral:rRNA from 1 species